CAGUAGCCACGGGAAUACAGAGGAUGCAAGCGUUAUCCGGAAUGAUUGGGCGUAAAGGGCUCGCAGGCGGUUUCUUAAGUCUGAUGUGAAAGCCCCCGGCUCAACCGGGGAGGGUCAUUGGAAACUGGGAAACUUGAGUGCAGAAGAGGAGAGUGGAAUUCCACGUGUAGCGGUGAAAUGCGUAGAGAUGUGGAGGAACACCAGUGGCGAAGGCGACUCUCUGGUCUGUAACUGACGCUGAGGAGCGAAAGCGUGGGGAGCGAACAGGAUUAGAUACCCCCGUAGUCCCUGUCUCUUAUAC
rnacentral:rRNA from 1 species